AUACAUAGCACCCAGUAAGAUUUAUAUAGAUUGUACAAGAUAGAUAAACCAAGUGAGAAAUUCCAGUAGAAAGCAAAAGGACAAACAAAAUGCAAGUGUCAUAGAACAGGUAUUUGAGAAAAGACAACACAUCAGAAUAUCCAGUUUCUAGUGAUCUUGAAAUAUUGGCCAAGAAACAAUCAAUGAUUGGUAUCAUAACUUUUUGUAAAAAUUGUUCUUUCAUACCAUGAACAAAGACAGAGUAUAGUUUCAUGCAACUUCAGUACAGAUAUUUUAGUAGUGAUAAAACAUAGCUACCUACUUUGUGAGGAAAAAGAACUACACAAGAAAAAAAUAAUAAUAAAAUAAACAUUCAUAUACAAACAAAGCAUUAAAAGGCAGCUAAAGUAAACAAAAAUACAUAUCAAAUUGCAAAAAGUUACAAGAGUAUGGCCUGAAUAAAGAAUUACAUUCUGAGUGAUAUAGAAUGACAUAUUACCAUGUUAUCAUAAGGCACAGACCAUCAGGCAUCUCAAGAACAAUCAAACACCUUGUUUUUGCUAUCUCUCCUUUGUGCUCAUCGCAUAUUCACGUAUACAUUAGAUUUGGACACUCAGUAGAAAUUUAUUUUCAUUUUCCCAGGUCAUUUAUGGUAGUUACUUUUUCAAUAUGUGAGCACGUUAGUUCUCACUAAUGCUACAAGCAUACUUGAAGGCAUUGUCCUCUUAUCCUCCUUAUUGAAGUUGCAUCCCAGAAAAACUUUAAAUUCUAAGCUUGGAUAUUUGAACCUUUAACCAAAUUCCUCAUUUGGAUUAAACUCCAAUAAAUCAUCUUUUUUUAAAAAAAAAAAAAAAUUAGCUGUUUGAAGUCCUGGGCAACAAGGUUUUUCAAGUACCUUCAUAUGAAGUUUAAAGAUAUACAUCUGACCUGACAUAUAGUUUUGAAAUAAUCAAUGCAUGCGUGACCAUAUACAACCAUGAGGAUAUAGUACCAAAAACCAUCUAACAACUGUAUUAGCAAAUUCUUAAAGGAAGCAAUUUGUGUCUUACCAGAUAAAGUUAGUAGCCUCAAACCCAACUUAUAAAGAUUAAAUCAGAUUUUGAGAUGCAUUGUUAGAUAAGUGAUGUUGAGCAACAACGAUGAUUGAUGUGUGAUGAUGAAAUUAUUGAGAAAAUAGUAGUAGAUACAUAAGUUAUUCCGGAAAGGAAUGGGCAAGCCAUGAUUUGUUCACAUUCUGCUAGUUGCUAGUUGCGCUUUGUUGACAU